UUACUUACCUGGACGGGGUGAUCAACAAGACUCAUGGCCUAGGCCGAUGGCUCACAUUGCACGUAGUGAGCGUGUCGGUCUACCAACUCUCCUUUGUGAAAGAAUGGACGUCACAAUUUAUGAUAGAGGGCUCA
rnacentral:snRNA from 1 species